rnacentral:rRNA from 1 species
AACGAACGCUGGCGGCAUGCCUAACACAUGCAAGUCGAACGAGACCUUCGGGUCUAGGGGCGCACGGGGGCGUAACGCGUGGGAACCUGCCCUUAGGUUCGGAAUAACUCCCCGAAAGGGGUGCUAAUACCGGAUAAUGUCUUCGGACCAAAGAUUUAUCGCCUUUGGAUGGGCCCGCGUUGGAUUAGCUAGUUGGUAGGGUAAAAGCCUACCAAGGCGACGAUCCAUAGCUGGUCUGAGAGGAUGAUCAGCCACACUGGGACUGCGACACGGCCCAGACUCCUACGGGAGGCAGCAGUGGGGAAUAUUGUACAAUGGGCGAAAGCCUGAUCCAGCAAUGCCGCGUGAGUGAUGAAGGCCUUAGGGUUGUAAAGCUCUUUUACCCGGGAUGAUAAUGACAGUACCGGGAGAAUAAGCUCCGGCUAACUCCGUG